rnacentral:rRNA from 1 species
ACGGAGGGAGCUAGCGUUGUUCGGAAUCACUGGGCGUAAAGCGUGCGUAGGCGGUGACUCAAGUCAGAGGUGAAAGCCUGGAGCUCAACUCCAGAACUGCCUUUGAAACUAGGUCGCUAGAACAUCGGAGAGGUGAGUGGAAUUCCGAGUGUAGAGGUGAAAUUCGUAGAUAUUCGGAAGAACACCAGUGGCGAAGGCGGCUCACUGGACGAUUGUUGACGCUGAGGCACGAAAGCGUGGGGAGCAAACAGGAUUAGAUACCCUGGUAGUCCACGCCGUAAACGAUGAUAACUAGCUGCCGGGGCACUUGGUGCUUCGGUGGCGCAGCUAACGCAUUAAGUUAUCCGCCUGGGGAGUACGGUCGCAAGAUUA